AUUUCCUCUUGGUCCUACCAUCCCCACAAAUUCACCUGGAAAAAGCACAGCUCCACAGGGCAAGGACUUGAUUCUCCCUUUAAUAUGCAACUCUCCUGUGAGUUCCCUGUACAUCCUGAUGGUUCUGUACUAGCAAAAAUAAGAUGGAACGAUAGAAAUCUGCUGAUGCUGACUAAUCUGCAAGCAAAUCUGAUGGAUCAUAAACUGCUUUGUUUCCAUCCUGUAUAACUGAAAUUAUGAUGACAAGUCUUAUUUUAUGAGAACAAAAUAAAAAGAAGC